rnacentral:rRNA from 1 species
UGGGCUUGACAUCCCACGAACCUUUAGAAAGGGUCGGGUGCCCGCAAGGGAGCGUGGAGACAGGUGGUGCAAGGCUGUCGUCAGCUCGUGUCGUGAGAUGUUGGGUUAAGUCCCGCAACGAGCGCAACCCUCACCCCUUGUUGCCACCGGGUAAAGCCGAGCACUCUAGGGGAACUGCUAGCGUUAAGCUGGAGGAAGGUGAGGAUGACGUCAAGUCAUCAUGCCCCUUACGCCCUGGGCUACACACGUGCUACAAUGGCCGGUACAAAGGGAUGCGAGACCGUGAGGUGGAGCUAACCCCAAAAAACCGGUCUAAGUUCAGAUUGCAGUCUGCAACUCGACUGCAUGAAGGAGGAAUCGCUAGUAAUCGCGCAUCAGCACGGCGCGGUGAAUACGUUCCCGGGCCUUGUACACACCGCCCGUCACACCACGAAAGCCGGCUGUACUCGAAGUCGCUGAG